GCGGACUAGCCUCAGUCUAGUCUGAACACUCCCUCCUGGAAGGAUUUUCAACUCUUUAGCCCCACCUAAUCACUUCUUGUCCUUAUGAGCAGUCAAGAGCCCUGCCAUAGCCUUCCAGUGCCCAGCCCAUAGCCUAGAUAGAUGACAGAGAAGAGCCUUGACAAGUCUCACCUACUUCACAGCACCUUGCAAUAGAUACCUUUACAAUGGAAAUUCUCUGGCAAAGGACAAGCCCAUCCCAUGUGCCUGUGGUAUUUUUACCAGCCCAUUACAAAGAGAAACUCCUUGGCACAAUUCCUCAUGGACACAUAUUGCUGAAGCUUGUUCAAGAUUUUUAAAAAUUUUUUAUAUUCAGUGAAACACUCAGUUAAGGUGGGAAAGGAAGAGAAGCGGAUGGGAAAUAGAGAAUGCCUCACUGGGUAAGUGUGAAAAGAAAGACACCAGAGACAAACAAAGGCAAGAAGACCAGGCAAGGAAAUACCCAGGCCCUGCUAACAUGUUAUUAUAAGCCCACUUCCUGCCCAGAGCAUCUAGAAUGAUUCCCACAUAUGUGGCUGGAACCUGAUCAGCUUCUGCGCUGACCCUAACCCUGCUAUCUGGUUCAGAAUUUCUGAGCUUCUCUUAUCUGUGUGACAGAGGCCCCAGGCUUACCGACAGAUGAGCUUCCAAAAAGAGUUUGAUGCCAAUUUGCUAUAGUCCUCCCACUCCUCAACCUUCAAAUCAGGACAACUAGCAAAUGCCUUCCAGCCCCUAAGGAGGCCUGGGGCUCCUGAGCAGGGACAAAGUGGGCCUGCCAAGCCCACUUCUCAGAACGGGACCCACAGCUCUCCUAGGUGAUACCUCCCACCUUCUCUCCAAGGUGGCUCAUGACAGCCCUGUUCCCUCCACUUCCAUCAGCCUAGACAACAAUUUGCUAAUAAUAAAAUCACAAAGGAAUAAGCAACUGCAAAAGUCAGGCCCUGUGCACAGAUGAUCCCAUUCAGUCCUUACAGCAUUCCUAUCUG
rnacentral:lncRNA from 1 species